UUUCACACCAACUAAAGUCCCCAACGUAAAGUAUGAGCUCAGUAAGUCUCCGUCUUCGUUUUCUAUGAGGACGGGUGCAGCUGCCUCUGCACAGGUCACAGCCCACAGAGACUUCAACGCUGUCCGAUGCCAUGCCUUGGAAAUGAUCCAUAAAGCGUUCUCAAUGCUUGACCAAGAGUUCCAAAAGCUUGACGGGUAUAAUGGUUCAGUCUUGGUUCAAAGAACUACAGGAAAUGUUGGAGAGACACAGAGCCCAGAAUGAGAACUGGCUACGUGCACGGGCAGAGGAGAAUGACAAGGAGAGGAAGGAGCUGUGUAAACUCAGGGAGGAUAUUGUGCAGGAGCAAGAAAGACUAAAAGAGGAGCAGGGAAACAUCCAGAAACGAAGCGAGCACCUCCUAUCCAUCAUGAAACAGUUCAAAGGCAUGUAAAUACAUGUCUCCAUAGCAACCAACUGGAGAAAACAGAUCUCCCGUGGAUAAAAUGGAAGAAUAGAUUUGACAUUCAUUUGUGUUUUCUGCUGGUGUGUUUGAAUAAUUAGCAUUGUGAGCAUAGGAGAAAUUUGCAUUUGUUGUCUUUUGCCAAAGAGUCAUCUUAUCUUAGAGAGGCGGUGAGGUCAGAGGAAUCAUGUUGACCUUGUCAUAAAAGGGAUAAUAUUUUAACCUGACUGGUACAAAAUCCUAGAGCAUACUAAGUGGGACUAUUAUGAAGGCCUAUGGAAAAUGUUGUAAAGGAAAGUAACAAACAAUCAAUCUGUUUUGUGUUGAAUAAUAAAGCAAUAGUGCAGCGCUCUUUGUAGUUUUGCACAUAUCUGCAGAGAUACACAUUCUGUUCCCUAAUCUUUUAAAUAAUCACACACACUUUUACAGUUUUACACUUUUCAGAUAAUGCAAUCAAGAGAUUUGAUUGUAUUGUAUUUUAUUCUAGCUAAAUCUGGGUAAACCAGAUAGAUUAUUAGGAAAUGGAUGUGUAU
ensembl:lncRNA